rnacentral:rRNA from 1 species
CCUACGGGAGGCAGCAGUGAGGAAUAUUGGUCAAUGGGCGCGAGCCUGAACCAGCCAAGCAGCGUGAAGGAUGACUGCCCUACGGGUUGUAAACUUCUUUUAUAAAGGAAUAAAGUGCGGCACGUGUGCCUUUCUGCGUGUAUUCUAUGAAUAAGGAUCGGCUAACUCCGUGCCAGCAGCCGCGGUAAUACGGAGGAUCCGAGCGUUAUCCGGAUUUAUUGGGUUUAAAGGGAGCGUAGAUGGGUUGUUAAGUCAGUUGUGAAAGUUUGCGGCUCAACCGUAAAAUUGCAAUUGAUACUGGCAACCUUGAGGACAGUUGAGGUAGGCGGAAAUCGUGGUG